CGGCCGCCAGCCCCAGGCGCAUCUGGCCGUUGAGUGGGUGGCCGCCAGGAGCCCCGGGAGAGUCGUGCAGCGCGGGAAAGAGCGCGGAGCCGCCGCCGUCCCGGCCCGCCGAUUGGCAGAGUGAACACUACAUUUGAGCUGCACAGUGGGACCGAGUUUUUGGAAAUGGCACGGGUGGGAUUGGAGGGAGCCGUGUGAUUGGCAGCUGCCUCGGCUGCGCGAUUGGCUCUGGUUCAGGCUCUGAGCCCAGCGGGAAACCGCCCCCGCAUGCCACACCGCCUGUGCUUUCACUUCGUGCCCCCUCCUCCCCUGGAACUCUGCAUCCCGGCUUCCCCUGAGAUGCCCAAGUUUCCCUUGCAGAAAGUUUGCACUUGGCCGGCGGGCUCAGCACCCGGGUCCACCCGCCUGGCGUAGAGCGUCUGCUAGCUCCCUGCUAAAGUGGACGCGAAACAGAGGGGUCAUGGGACCUCCCCACCAGGGGUAAAGCGAGGAGGCGGGGGUGGGUGGAGGUUGAAGAAGAUGAAGAACUCACUUGAACAUUUUCUACCUUUUGGAUAAUCCCUGGCUGGUCUCUGGACCGAGUGACCAACCCAUUUGUAGCGAUGCCAGAAACUUCUCAAAUGGACCCCGUCUGUCCCUGGGCCCACGUGAAGUACAGAUUGGAGGCGGAAUAAAAUAAGGUCAAUUAUUAAACUAUAUUGGUCACAAAACAAUUUGAUGGAGCUUGGCAAACUACCAAAGUCAAAAUAAUAUAUAAUAAAUCUUUCCCCAAAGGAACAGUC